AUUUUUUCUUCUCUUUUUCAGGACUAUCAUUGGUGGUGGCGUAGUUUCUUAACAUCAGGAUUCACUUCAUUUUACUUAUUCCUUUACUGUGUUCAUUACUUCGUUACCAAGCUGAGCAUAGAGGGUGUGGUAUCCACCAUGCUCUACUUUGGGUAUACAGCAAUCAUGGUCUUCCUUUUCUUCUUGCUCACAGGAACCAUUGGCUUCGUCGCCUGUUUCUGGUUUGUACGAAAGAUCUACAGUGUAGUGAAAGUGGAUUAGAUCUCAGAACCAAAAUGGUUGUUGUUGGAGUGUGUUGUCGUCAUUCGACUGACUCCGCCUUAGCAGUUCGAGGAGAGAGUGGGACUAAAGUAAUCUUUUUUGCAUAGUAGCAAAUUAAACCCCAUAGAAUAAGGGAAAGAUAAUUCAGGUAUCAAAUAUACCAUGGAUGAUCUGCAACUGUAUUAAGAAAAUCUUGGAUAAUUGUGGUUAUGGGCAUUAAUGAUUAAUUUACUUGCUAUUGUACUGACUUGGUAUGGAUUACAGCUAAAGCUAUAUUAGAAAAAGUCGGGAGUUGAUCUAACCUCUCUGAGUCAUUGGCUGUCUGUUUAACGAUGUAAGUGUGACUCAAGGGGACGUGAGGCACCAACUUUGAAUUUAUUGUGUUAGAUAUAAAUGUAAAGUCUUGUGUAAAACUUUUCUUUUACUUUUAGUAAAAUAAUUUUUAGAUGUUGCAUAAGCUUUUCUUAAUGCAGUGACCAAAUUGCUGGCAUUAUUGAUGAAUGGUACCCUUUUUAUUUUAUUUCUAUUAUCUUCCUUUUCUCUCACUUAUGUUUAGGGUAGAUCAAGGGUUACAGAAACCACAAAGAAAAAAUGGAACUGAUAGAGUACAUUGGUGCAAGACAAGUCUAUGAACUACGGGAACAGGCUGGGAUGGCAAGUCAUUAUUUCCACAUACAGUAUAUUAACUGUCCUCAUUUCACAGACUAUACAUAUUAAAGUUGCUCCCCUUUGAUUGAAUCUAUUAUUGUAUUCUUUUGCUGCAUGCUCCCUUAAAUUAUCAGAAACUGAACAUCUUAUACAUGCACACUAUUGUAUUAUAUUUAUGAGUUUGAAAAACUUAUAGUACACAAAGUUUUUAAGAUUUUAAUAGAUCAGCUACAUCGGAUAGUCAUGAAAGAAGAGAUCUCAUAGUUGGCAAAGAAAAUAUUUUGAAGUUCAUCAUAGAUAUCAAAUGUUUAGUAUCAGUAUUCCUUAAGAUAAGCCUGAGUGAUUAGCAUACUGUUUAGGCUAGUACCAUGAGUGCUUUAAAGAAAUUUCUGCAAAACAACAUUUUUUUUUUCUUUUGUUAUUUUCUGGCAAGGAAAUAGAUCCUCAUUACGAAAGAGGUUAAGUACAGAUGUCCAAGGCCUUGAGAAACUUUACCCACUUCUGAUUAUAUUAAAUGUAGUUUGCCAGUAUCCAGAACUGUACCUGAAUUUUUGGUUGAGGAAUGGAAUUAAACACCCAGUUGCCAAGACUACUCACACAAGAUGAGUAACUCCUCCAAUAGUCGGUUCAAUCUUAAGUAAACUGUUACCUUGAUGUUACAGUACAGUAAUUGUAAAGCAAGCAAGGCCUUUGUUACUUAAUCAGGCCUCCAUUUUAUCUUCACAGUAAGAUGUAACUGUUAUCAUUUGCAUAUUAUUGUGGCAUUGAAAGCCACUUUGCAGUUAUUCAGAUUUUUAUUUAUUUAUUUAUAUAUAUAUUUUUUUAGGGGGUGGGCUUCAUGUAAAUUACUCAUCUUAAUUAUCUAGUAGCUGUACAGUAUUUAGAUUAUUAAAACUGAUGAAAAUGAAGUUUGCUAGUUAUCCCUCCCUGAAUAUUUCUCUUAUAUUUUUACUGUACAAUAUUAUCCUUUUUAGCAUUUUUUAUAUUCAUUUCUUUAUGUGGAGAGGAGAGUUUGUUUCUGUAAAAUGAUACAAUUUAUCUCCUUUUGUUAUUAUUGUACCAUAUUCUGAAGUAAUGCUUAAAGCUAUAGGAAGAAUCUUCUGGAUCAAGGAUAUUUUGUUGUAGAGAUGGAGUCUUGUAUGAUGUAUCAAAUAUAGUUAAUUUAUUAUUCAAAUAACUA